GCAGAUGGUUCACAAUUCUAUAAUCGAACGAGCAAGACAAAGAAUAACCUACCUAUGUUUAUUAAGCUGCAAAACAUAUUCAAUUAACCAAAAUUAUAAGGUACUAAUAUUAUGUGACUAUGUCGAAACAUCCCUGACCAUUCUCUCUCAUACCACCCAGUUAAAGGAGCGGGAGCGGCCACACAUUAUAACAGCUACACAAACUUGCUACAAUGAUUAUUCAACGGUAGCAUGCAGGAAGGAUAACGGCAUGACGUCUUUCUGCAAAAGAAAAGCAGAAUAACAAGAUGCUAGAGCAGCUACUAUUCAUGACUACACAUUGUGAAGUAGCAAAUGACUUUUGCAACAGAUGCAUCAACAUUUCUUAGAUCGAUCCAUAUUACUGGCAGUGGUGCCCUUUGAAGAACUCCUCACAUUCCUAGCAUCUGCUUUUGCCCUCUGUGAAUGCAUUGGAUGGGAAGGGCCAGCAGCAUUACCACCUACACCUGGUCCGAGGCUCCCUGAAUGAUGUGCGCCUUCCGUCGAAGGAAGUGCCCAUCCACCCCUAUUUGCACCAUUAUGGACACUGCUCCCAGACCCAGUUUCACCUAGUAAAUUAAACCCACCAUACAGGCCAGGUAGCUGAUUUCUAGCUUUUCCUUUCCAGGUUUCUUCAAAUCCAUCAAGUUCAUUUUCGUUAAGGUUGUGCAAUGUCUGCAUGGUGUCCACCCUGCCAUCUGAAUCGAGUUUGCGCGACAAAGAAUGACCCUUAUUAUGUAUUCCCCUUGAAACCCUGUGACUUGCUUCCCCAGUAGCGGAAUUGGCUUCUUUACUUUCCUCAAAAGUCAGUCCAUCACUUCCGCUCCUCCUGGUUUUGGAAGAAGUGUAAUAGGUUCCAUUUGCACCACCAUAGGACACGGUGGAACUCUGAAAGCUAAAGCUACGAACUUGAGGCUGUUGAACAUUAUUUGCUCUCUGGAAAUCAUUCUGGAAUACCAUUUGCUUACUACUCCUCUCUCCUGCUUCAUCAUCUGGAUAUUCAAUAAAAGGCUCAGUUCUUGACCUAGCAUGCUUUCUCGUGUUCUGUUUCUUCUCUUUUGGAAUAUCAUUUUCCUCCUUCUCAUCAUCAGAGUCCAACUCCUCAAUAACAGGACCCCUAGAUCUAGGCUGCUGGAAGGGGACAGAAUGUUGUUGGAACGGAACAGAAGGCUGUUGGAAAGGGACAGAGAACUGUUGGAAAGGGACAGAAGGCUGUUGUUCCAGAAAUCCAGUCAUGUGCGAGCCCAUGAAUGGACCUCCGCGAGGACCAAAAGGGGUCGACCCAAACAUGCCUCCAAAUGGGUUUGUGAAGAAAGGAUCAUCAAACGGGUCUCUGCCUCCAAAAAAGCCAGAACUUCCAAAUCCGGCAAAACCACCAAAACUACCAAAAGGAUUACCAAAAUUGGAAAAGGGGUCUCUGCCUCCCUGCAUUUUCAACUUGUGGCCUGCAAAAUCUAGAAUUUAACAAACUUUACGAAAAUUCAAUCGGAGCAGAAGGAUUUUUUU
rnacentral:misc_RNA from 1 species